AUUGAACGCUGGCGGCAUGCCUUACACAUGCAAGUCGAACGGCAGCGCGGGAGCAAUCCUGGCGGCGAGUGGCGAACGGGUGAGUAAUAUACCGGAACGUGCCCUGUAGCGGGGGAUAGCCCGGCGAAAGCCGGAUUAAUACCGCAUACGCUCUACGGAGGAAAGCGGGGGUCGCAAGACCUCGCACUAUAGGAGCGGCCGAUAUCGGAUUAGCUAGUUGGCGGGGAAAAGCCCACCAAGGCUACGAUCCGUAGCUGGUCUGAGAGGAUGAUCAGCCACACUGGAACUGAGACACGGUCCAGACUCCUACGGGAGGCAGCAGUGGGGAAUUUGGACAAUGGGCGCAAGCCUGAUCCAGCCAUGCCGCGUGAGUGAAGAAGGCCU
rnacentral:rRNA from 1 species